rnacentral:rRNA from 1 species
AUUGAACGCUGGCGGCAGGCCUAACACAUGCAAGUCGAGCGAGCGGCGGACGGGUGAGUAAUGUCUGGGAAACUGCCCGAUGGAGGGGGAUAACUACUGGAAACGGUAGCUAAUACCGCAUACCAUCAGAUGUGCCCAGAUGGGAUUAGCUAGAAGGUGGGGUAACGGCUCACCUAGGCGACGAUCCCUAGCUGGUCUGCGAGGAUGAUCAGCCACACUGCAAUGGAGCAACGGUCCAGACUCCUACGGGAGGCAGCAGUGGGGAAUAUUGCACAAUGGGUGCAAGCCUGAUGCAGCCAUGCCGCGUGUGUGAAGAAGGCCUUCGGGUUGUAAGGCACUUUCAGCGGGGAGGCGUUACCCGCAGAAGAAGCACCGGCUAACUCCUUGCCAGCAGCCGCGGUAAUAC